AAUGCCCUGAGAACGCAGCCGGGUGCUGAGCCUCCGGAGUCCGGUAGCUGAAUGAAAUACGCAGGGAUCACCAGCCGGACCCAAAUCUUGCGUCCCUGCCAGUAUCCUGGAGUCCUAAGAGGCAGGGAUUGGAGCGGACAGGAUCUCAGAACUCUGGUCCCGGGCGCACAACGGCGGAGUCGCUGUUCCUGGUGCUGAAACGCUCAGUCCUGGAAGAACGUGGCCGCCUGCCCGCCUGGUACCGCGCCGCGGCCGCUGCGGGGAACUGUCCAGUGCUGAAAACGGAUGCGGCCCGGCCCGCAGGGCUCAGACCCGAGGCUGCCACACCCAGCGGAGCUCGAACCGAGCUCCGGGAAGCGCUGACGCAGAGCGCAGGGAGAGCCGGAGCGGCGAGCUCCAAGCCUGGCAUGGACCCGCAGAGACCCGAUUCCUACCAGGGAGGAGCUGGCCCUGACUUCAACGACCACGUCCUGCAUAAGACCAUCCUGGUGGGCGACAGUGGUGUGGGAAAGACGUCUCUGCUGGUUCAGUUCGAUCAGGGCAAGUUCAUCCCCGGCUCCUUCUCGGCCACUGUGGGCAUCGGAUUCACGAACAAGGUGGUGAUUGUGGAUGGCGUGAGAGUGAAGCUGCAGAUCUGGGACACCGCUGGGCAGGAACGGUUCCGAAGCGUCACCCAUGCUUAUUACAGAGAUGCUCAGGCCUUGCUUCUGCUGUAUGACAUCACCAACAAAUCUUCUUUCGACAACAUCAGGGCCUGGCUCACUGAGAUUCAUGAGUAUGCCCAGAGGGACGUGGUGAUCAUGCUGCUAGGCAACAAGGUGAGUGGCUCCGGGGCAGGGUCAGCCCAGCCCUGCACUUCCUCAGCCCUAGCCAGCCCCAUAACCACCCAAGAACAGUUAUCUAGGCAUCCUUCCUGAAAAGGACUCUGCAGCCUCCAGCUCAGGGGUCAGACAUAUCUGGAGGCUUCUGCCCAUCCCAUCUGCCCCUUCCAGGGAAAGUCCAAGUUGUUGCCUGGGAAAUCAAGGGGUGCCCAGUUCUCAGCCCCCAUUAGAGCAGAGUGAACAGGGUCCCAGGUCAGGGGCUAAGAGUGCAAAGGGUUAGCCCCAACUGCUGUCCUAUUCCAAGACUGGGUCACCACACCCUUUACCAAAGGUGAGAUCCCAGAGCUGGGAGCUACACUGGGCAGAAACCCUGGCCCCAGGCCAAUCACACCUGCCUGCAGUCCCUUGGGCCACCAGCAGAGGGCAGGCAACGCCUGCUUCUGGGGCAAAAUAUGGGCCCGCUGGGGCGGAGGCCUCCUUCCCCAGAGUGACCCAUUUGGGCUUGACAGGCGGAUAUGAGCAGCGAAAGAGUGAUCCGUUCCGAAGACGGAGAGACCUUGGCCAGGGUAAGUGAUUGUCUGUGGGACAGGGUGAAGGGUGGGGGCAACCCGAGGCUGGCCCUGAGGACACUCUCUCCCGGGCAGGAGUACGGUGUUCCCUUCCUGGAGACCAGCGCCAAGACUGGCAUGAAUGUGGAGUUAGCCUUUCUGGCCAUCGCCAAGUGAGAGCUGGGCAGGGAAGGGAAGUGUGCGGGGCAGGGCGGCACACUCCAGGAAUCCAGUAGGGCCCAGCCCCUGGCCCAGCCCCUGGACACACCUGCAUUCUGCAGGCUGAGGUCCAUUUGCUCUGGGAGCACUGGGCCACUGGGAGAGGGGAGGGGGCGGCUCAGCUCCUCACCCCAGCCCAGCCCAGCCCAGCCCAGCCCAGCCCAUUGUCUCUUCUUCAAGGGAACUGAAAUACCGGGCCGGGCAUCAGGCGGAUGAGCCCAGCUUCCAGAUCCGAGACUAUGUAGAGUCCCAGAAGAAGCGCUCCAGCUGCUGCUCCUUCAUGUGAAUCCCAGGGGGCAGAGAGGAGGCUCUGGAGGCACACAGGAUGCAGCCUUCCCCCUCCCAGGCCUGGCUUAUUCCAAGCAGCUGAGCCAAUGGGGAGAAAGAUGGAGGACUCACUGCACAGCCCCUUCCUAGCAAGGAGCUAUACUCCAACUCCUACUCGAGUUCCUGCGGUCUCCCCGCAUCCACAGGGAGGGUAAAACACUUAGCUUUUAUUUUAAUAGUACAUAAUUUAUACCAAACAAGGCACCUGGAUCCCCAAAAAACCGAGGCUGGGAGCUAGUGGCCCUUUUGCUUUCUAGGACUUGGGGGGCUGGCCCUCCCUCCUAAGCAUAACAAAGGUGGUGUUGCUCCAGCUCAGCCCCAGGGGACACAGAUGCACUUUGGGGGUGAGGGCAGGCAAUGACUCCAUCGCACCCUCAGUUCAGCUGGACAGAGGCUCAGGUGACCCCAGCCUUCACUGUCUCCCGCUCUCCAGGAGCUUAUCUUCGCCCCGUCUCCCAAAUAAGUUGGCCCUUGUGCUGUGAGGAAGACCAAAGCCUCAGGGAAGAUAAGAGAUACGGAGAUGGGAGGGGGAGGACAAGGGGCAGAGAGUAGGGUCUAGCUGGCUAUCUCUGGCCUUACUAACACCCCCCUGGAAGCAUGCCCCUUUUCUCCAGCACACAAGCACAUUGGGGCACCUGGAAAUAUUGGUUCCAGGCUCCUGUUCUCUGGACUUCAGAUCCUGGGGGAGCCCCUCCCCAACUGAAUCCCUGGCUUAGCUACCUUCCUGCCUGUGCACCUAAAAACCUCAGGUCAGAACUAGGAAAAGAGUUUUGUUUUUAUUUUUUUGAGAUGGAGUCUCCUUCUGUCGCCCAGGCUGGGGUGCAGUAGUGCAAUCUCCGCUCACUACAACCUCCACUCCCUGGGGCUCAAGCGAUCCUCCCACCUCAGCCCCCCAAGUAGCUGGGACUAUAGGUGUGUACCAUCACACCUGGCUAAUUUUUGUAUUUUUUGUAGACACAGGGUUUCGCCAUGUUGCCCAGGCUGGUCUUGAAUUCCUGAGCUCAAGCAACCUGCCGGCCUCGGCCUCCCAAAGUACUGGGAUUACAGGCAGAAGGCACCAUGCCCAGGCUAGAUGUGUCUUAUCCCAAUCCUUUGGCAGGCAUGCAGCUCCACAGGCGAUUUCUUCAAGCAGCUGAAGUGUUUAGCCCUCCUGGGUUAAGAGCCAGAUAAGGAGAAAUCCCUUUCCUAGGUUUGGAAUGUGUUGUGAAAAAAAAAGAGAGAAAUCCCUGGCUCCUGGAGCUGGUGGGAGACAAGAUUAAGCAAACCUCCCCUGACAUGUAUCCCUUUGACCCCAAGCUCUGCCUCUUCCCUGACCACCCAUGCCCUUUCCUUUAACUUCUCAAACAGAUACCAGGGCCUAAACUGCUUUACCUCCCCUCCUACUGAGUCGGGUUAGGUGGUGGGAGGUCACCCAUUUCCGAGUUAAACCAAUGCAAUAUGAGUAAAACAAGGUCAUGUGGGUAUGUCUGGGGUAGAGAGAGGGGUAGCAAGUUCAUGUGUCCUCCUUGGUCACAUAUCUCCCAAAGCUCUGAUCCCUGCCAUGGGAAGUGGACAGGAAACAUGAGGUCAUGACCUGCAGGCAUCUUUACUGCAGCUCUGCCGGACUGGAGGGGGAGAGGGGGAGGAAGAAGCAUGCGCUGCACAUUUCUGAGGCUACUGCAUUUGCUUUCAAGGCAGAAAUCUUGCUCUGAGCAGUCAGCGGCUCCAGUUUGGGCCCGAUAAGGAAGUUCUCCGUGGCCUCUCUCAGGCAGAGCAGGGAGGAGGCUGACAUUGCCAGUCUCUUCUGGGGCCCAAGGCAGGUUGCAGGAGAUCCAAUCCCGUAGACAGCUCUGGGCCUCUUGCAUUUGAGUUUUUCAGAAUUAAACUGCAGUAUUUUGGAAAGCA
rnacentral:sRNA from 1 species